rnacentral:pre_miRNA from 1 species
AAAGUACUCCCUCCAUCCCGGAAUUCUUGUCUUAGAUUUGUCUAGAUACAGAUGUAUCAAGUCACAUUUUAGUAUUAGAUACAUCCGUAUCUAGACAAAUCUAAGACAAGAAAUUUGGGACAGAGGGAGUAGUUG